UGCGGUGGAAUGCAGAUGAGAAGACAGACCUAAAGCAUCUAUGGCAAAGUUUUAUGAUUAUCAGAGGAGUUUCCUAACUCCCAACACUAAAAAUCCCACUCCUGGAGCUGAGCAGCAGUGCUUUGGAAGGAUUGAACUGCAGUGCUGUGAUGAGGAUGGAGCCCUCCAUGCCCAUAGCUUUUAGGAUUCUCUGACAAGCAGCACAAGAAAAGGGAACUUACAGUGAAGAUUCAAGAUAAUAUCUACAUUCUGUAGAGUGGAAAUGUAUUGGUUUGAACAACUGCACUGUGAAUCAUGGUUUUCCUGUUCAACACUAAAUUCAGGUUCACACAGGAAAAAAGAGUCUGAAAUUUUGGUGCAUGCCAGGCAGAAAGUGCCUGCCUGACCAGUUCCAAGUAUCAAGCCUGGGCACUCAGUCUCUAUUGAGCCUCGGUGGACAACAUUUUACAAGUUUGUCACAAAUCCUUGCCGGUGUAAAGAAACAUGUCCUGAGUGACUGUACUGAGAGGGCACUCCUCUUGGAAGCUGUGCCCAGUUUC